GGGUGAGUAACACGUGGGCAAUCUGCCCUAAAGACUGGGAUACCACUUGGAAACAGGUGCUAAUACCGGAUAACAACAUGAAUCGCAUGAUUCAAGUUUGAAAGGCGGCGCAAGCUGUCACUUUAGGAUGAGCCCGCGGCGCAUUAGCUAGUUGGUGGGGUAAAGGCCUACCAAGGCAAUGAUGCGUAGCCGAGUUGAGAGACUGAUCGGCCACAUUGGGACUGAGACACGGCCCAAACUCCUACGGGAGGCAGCAGUAGGGAAUCUUCCACAAUGGACGCAAGUCUGAUGGAGCAACGCCGCGUGAGUGAAGAAGGUCUUCGGAUCGUAAAGCUCUGUUGUUGGUGAAGAAGGAUAGAGGCAGUAACUGGUCUUUAUUUGACGGUAAUCAACCAGAAAGUCACGGCUAACUACGUGCCAGCAGCCGCGGUAAUACGUAGGUGGCAAGCGUUGUCCGGAUUUAUUGGGCGUAAAGCGAGCGCAGGCGGAAUGAUAAGUCUGAUGUGAAAGCCCACGGCUCAACCGUGGAACUGCAUCGGAAACUGUCAUUCUUGAGUGCAGAAGAGGAGAGUGGAACUCCAUGUGUAGCGGUGGAAUGCGUAGAUAUAUGGAAGAACACCAGUGGCGAAGGCGGCUCUCUGGUCUGCAACUGACGCUGAG
rnacentral:rRNA from 1 species